UACGUAGGGUGCAAGCGUUAAUCGGAAUUACUGGGCGUAAAGCGUGCGCAGGCGGUUAUGUAAGACAGGUGUGAAAUCCCCGGGCUUAACCUGGGAACUGCAUUUGUGACUGCAUAGCUAGAGUACGGUAGAGGGGGAUGGAAUUCCGCGUGUAGCAGUGAAAUGCGUAGAUAUGCGGAGGAACACCGAUGGCGAAGGCAAUCCCCUGGACCUGUACUGACACUGAGACACGAAAGCGUGGGGAGCAAACAGG
rnacentral:rRNA from 1 species